AAAGAUUUUCCAUCAUUACCAUGUGUAUGGAUGUGCAAAUGCAACUCACUUGGUGUUGGAUCUCGACCCUUUUUAACAGCCUAUACAAAAGUUAUUCAAUUAAGAAGAUAGAUCUUAAGACUGUCAAGAAUCAAGUUCUGUUAUCAAUUUUGUCUUUAGAGCAGGGUAUAAAGCAGUGAAUUUAGAAGCUAAAGAGCCUCACUUCUCAGGCACUAUUUAGUUGAAAAUAGCACUGCAAGUUUCAUUAAACUUUGAAAGGAUGCCUUCCGCAUAUCCUGGAUUUAAAUAAUUUUUACCUUAUCACUGCAUUUUAACCUAUAAUAGUAGGUUAUAUAUUUAGUUUACUACAGCUAUGAAACCAAAUUAGGCUUACUAUGAAGUUGUAAUUCAGCAUAACUACAUAAUGUAAAAAAUGUUAUACACUGCUAGUGUAUACAAGUUAACUCUUUAUAUGUCCCCCUAUAAGGAUCUCCAGGUACACCAUUAUAGUUGGCCUUAAGAGACACAGUAAUCCAAUAAAGUGUCAACAUAAAGAUCGUAAAGUAAUGGCUGUAUCAAAAACUAUAUCUGCUUCACAAAGUUAUAAAGAUGGAAUGCUCCUGAUACAAACUUUUCAUAUCAGAAUUCAAGUUUUUGCUACAAAGUUUGAAGGUCUUACGCUCAAUGACCAAAUCUUUCACAUAAGAUGUUACAAAUGUAGCUGAAUAUAAGUCUAGAAAAAGAAAACAGCAGGAAAAGAAACACCUCGAAGUUGGUCUACAAUUCAGAAUAUUAGUCUAAGCUCCUACUAGAAAGCAUAGUAACUGCUAAAAGAACGAUAGCACCCAAUCUUGCAAAUUUUCAAUCCCUUCGAACGGAAUAGUCUUUUGAAACCAAACAUACACACACAUACACAUGACAUCUUCCAUGAGCAAAACAAUCUGAUAGAGAUACUCAAAUCGCUUGAAACAUUAACCAUAUCCAGUUGGAUUAUCAGCAAUUACAAGAAUGGUACUAACAGAGAGAUCUUUCUAGAGCAACAAAAGCAAAUGCUUCCUAAAUCCCCCAAACUGUCACUUUGCAAAACAAAGUGAAAAUAUGACAUGAUCAGUAGAAUUGAAAUGCAUGCAAUUAAAAUUCAAUGUAAGCUGUUAAAGAAACCAAGACCCACAAAGAAGAAACCAACUUACAGUGGGAUGUGAUAACUAAAGCCUCACAAUCAAAGAGAAACUUGCAGUCCACAAAACCCAAGAGCAGCCUAUUCUUUAGGAGCAUGACAACCCCAUAAAUAUAGCCAAAGCAAAAUGGCAAAAUCUACAUCUAUCCCAAUUACCAAUAAAGCACAAAUUACAUGAGAUGAACAGAUGAGCUUUAACCUUUAUUAUUUUACAUCUGAAUAGUAGUCUAAGGGAGUUCAGGUUUUUAAUAAUACCUUCAUAAACAUGGAUUUUCAAUUACAUGGUUUACUCAUUCUUUCCACUUUUUUAAAAUAGAUGAGAUUACUUUCUUUUUCUUAUUACAAGGGAUCAUAUUCCUAUAAAGUUUUGUACUAUAGCACAUUGCCAGAAUAUAAACAACCAAAAAUUUUCUCCGGUACUCCGUAUAAAAAUGAGAUGAACAUACAAAAUUUAAAUAAUUCAUUUUUACUUUUGGCAUGACAGGAAGAGACCAUUUUUAUUAAGAACAUCUAACUUAUUUCCAAUCUUCAGACAUGAAAGAAGAUGACCAACAUAUCUUAACACCCAGCUAUCCUCACUUUAAUCUAACACAUGAUCAAGUUAACAAGUGGACGAAAAUUCUUACACAAAACACCACGAGUUCCAGUGAUGUUCCAUGAGAAAACACGUUAAGUUCAUUGAAAGCAAAUGAAAUUACCAGCAGUUCUCUUUAAUAAGAAAAAUAGUGUUCUGAGGGGAAAAAAUAAUAACAAAGAGUAGAGAAAAUUUGGAAUAAAGAUGGAGAAACUUUGAAAUGGAAACACCAAAAUAAAGCACAAGACAUGAUGAACAUGAUUCUCGCCCAGAUAUACAAUACAGGAAUGAAAUCACAAAGAAGCUUACCUUAUCAAGGACAUACAAUCCCUAAAAUCAACGCACGACUUCGAAUUUUAGAAUUCUGCAAACACACGACUUCGAAUUACAGAUUUCUGCAGCAAAAAUUUUGCAAUUUCGAAAGUUUUUUU
rnacentral:lncRNA from 1 species